CAUUGAAUGUCGAACUACUAUAAACAUUUUUUGUUAUCUCUUCUUCUACCCGUUCUUGCUUUUAUCUUACUUGAUAGUUAGCUUGAUUCCGCAACAAAUUGGUAUCAGAGCCAUUGAAGAAGAAGUUUUGAGGCUUCAUCGAUAAAAUGUCAGCAAGAUUUGAGCUAGAGAAAUUUGACGGAAAAGGGGAUUUCGGCCUUUGGAAAAAGAAGAUGAAGGCGUUACUUGUGCAACAAAAGGUUGCCAAAGCCCUUGAUCCAAAUUGAAGAUAUUCAAGAAUAAUAAUUUAAAACCGCAAUUUUAGAGGAUAAUGUGGACUUCACCAAUUUGGGAAGAGUUCAACGGAUAAAUACAGACACAAUUAUUAUGGCCGGAAGCUUCAAUUUGAGAAUUAUGAAUUUUUAGGAUAUUUUGUAAAUAAAGAUAUAUAAUCAAAGUAGGAAACAUAAUCCUCAAUUGAUUAGGAACUCUUUUAUUGAAUUUAUUUUCUUUUAAAAA